UUGAAAGGGAAACGAUUGAAGUCAGUCGUACCAGCGGGAAUCAACCUUUCGAGUGGGGUUUUGGAGUUUUGAAGAGUUUCAAAACCUUUGAGAUUUCAAAAAUUUCGCUCUUUUGGUGUACUUUCUCGUGGGUAGGUUAACAUCGAUUUUGAUCAUCAUAAAAAGAUUGGAGGAAUGUAGCUUCGAUCUUGUAUUGAAGUGUUAUAGCCUUUGGUAAAUGUGAUGAUUAGGAUCGAGGAUUGCAACGAAUACCCUUUUGGGCUAUCCGCCUGAUCUCUGAUACGUGGCCUUGGUAUCGAAAGCUUGCUUAUGGUAUUAAGGUAUUACGGUCAAAAGGUUAGAACGGAUUACAUUCGUUAAGGAUGUUGACGUA
rnacentral:rRNA from 1 species